CCAUAGAUGGAACUAGUUUACACUAUCCACCCUGGCUCACAAAUAUACCAAAAGGGCAGAUGACACAUCUGAAAAUAAAUUGUUAAAACAAAAAAGUGUUUGAGGAACAGGCAUCUACAUAAAAGAGCAUUAUAAGGAAAAGGGAUAUGAUCCAAUAAAGAUGGAAAAAGACGAGGAACAUAUUAAUUAAUUGGACAGAUGUUCCAUGUUAG